rnacentral:rRNA from 1 species
UGCGUAGGCGGUUCUUGUAAGUUUAAGUGAAAGCGUGGGCUCAACUCAUAUAACCUUAAGAAACUGCAAGACUAGAGUGUAGAAGAGGGUAGUGGAAUUCCAUGUGUAGCGGUAAAAUGCGUAGAUAUAUGGAGGAACACCGGUGGCGAAGGCGGCUACCUGGUCUAUAACUGACGCUGAGGCACGAAAGCGUGGGGAGCAAAUA